ACCCGCUGAACUUAAGCAUAUCAAUAAGCGGAGGAAAAGAAACCAACAGGGAUUGCCUCAGUAACGGCGAGUGAAGCGGCAACAGCUCAAAUUUGAAAUCUGGCCUCACGGUCCGAGUUGUAAUUUGUAGAGGAUGCUUUUGGCGAGGUGCUUUCCGAGUUCCCUGGAACGGGACGCCAUAGAGGGUGGGAGCCCCGUACGGUAAGACCACCGAGCCUCUGUAAAGCUCCUUCGACGAGUCGAGUAGUUUGGGAAUGCUGCUCUAAAUGGGAGGUGUACGUCUUCUAAAGCUAAAUACCGGCCAGAGACCGAUAGCGCACAAGUAGAGUGAUCGAAAGAUGAAAAGCACUUUGAAAAGAGGGUUAAAAAGUACGUGAAAUUGUUAAAAGGGAAGGGUAUUGAAUCAGACUUGGUGCUGUUGUUCAACUGUGUUUUGGCACAGUGUACUCAGCAGUACUAGGCCAAGGUGGGGUGUUUGGGAGUGAAAAAGAAGUUGGAACGUAACUCUUCGGAGUGUUAUAGCCUACUUUCAUAGCUCCUCAGGCGCCUCAGGACUGCGCUUCGGCAAGGACCUUGGCAUAAUGAUUCUAUACCGCCCGUCUUGAAACACGGACCAAGGAG
rnacentral:rRNA from 1 species